GAUGUGCACCCUACUCCUACAGUGGAUCAACUAUCGUCAACAUCCACUACAAGGGCUCAUUGAGAUCUAUGUUUAUGUGACAGUCAAACUCCAGCAGCCUCACUGCAAGCAGUAGUAUAAUAUCAGAUCAAAGGAUCAUUCACACAACUACAGCAUUGAGACAAUCACUGACGAUCGAAUAAAAAUUCAAGUGAUCUCUCAUAUGGUCACGCUCAGUACUAGUUAUUCUCUAACA
rnacentral:lncRNA from 1 species